UACGAAGGGGGCUAGCGUUGCUCGGAAUCACUGGGCGUAAAGCGCACGUAGGCGGCGCCACAAGUCACCUGUGAAAACUCUGGGCUCAACCCAGAGCCUGCAGGCGAAACUGUGGUGCUGGAGUAUGGGAGAGGUGCGUGGAAUUCCCGGUGUAGCGGUGAAAUGCGUAGAUAUCUGGAGGAACACCGGUGGCGAAGGCGGCAUCCUGGACCGGCACUGACGCUGAGGAGCGAAAGCCAGGGGAGCAAACGGG
rnacentral:rRNA from 1 species